rfam:Triticum aestivum genome assembly, contig: Triticum_aestivum_CS42_TGACv1_scaffold_002956_1AL
UAAGUACUCCCUCCAUUCCGAAUUAAUUUUCGCAGGUAUGGAUGUAUCUAGAUGUAGUUUAGUUCUAGAUACAUCCAUUUCUGCGACGAGUAAUUUGGAACGGAGGGAGUAGUAC